UUGUGAUCUGCUGCCUGAUGUCCUCGACAAGGACAUCAGGCAGCAGAUCACUGAUGCCGCCUUCAUGUACCUGCACCAAACCUGGGCCUCCAUCUCCCUGGAGGGUGUAGUCAGACGGAGGUUCACUGUGGGAACAUUGCUGGAGCACAGCUGGCUGCAGGAUGUCCAGCUGUGGUGUGACCUCAAGAGUUCGAGCAGCGGAUUGGUUGCCGCUAUCCGACGAUGUUGAUGAUGAGCGCUGGAGACGCCACAACUGCGGCCUGGACUUCCCUUACAACCUCUCCUGGGACUCCAGCAUGGAAGUUAAAGGUCAGUCGUUUCCCUGUGAUGCACAUGAAAUUAGCUGAUUUUGUUGUGUAGGAACAUAAUUGAGCUCCCCCCCCCCUUUUUUUUGGGGGGGGGGGGGGGCGCCUUCUUUCUUACAUGUUAUCUUUCAUGGAGGAGGACAACAAUCCUUCACAGAGAUGAUGGUGGACCUUUAACGGGGAGCCAUGCAGGAGGAGCCUGAUCCAGAUACUAAGGACUCCUUCCAGGUUCAGUACUCAUCAGAUCAGCCCGUGGAGAUGAGAUGGGCACGGUGUCGAAGAUUCAGCGUGUUGACUUGUAUGCUGUCCACUGCCACGUGCCUGAUCUCCUGCAGGAUGCUGACCUGACGGCCAGAAUAAUGACUCUGAAACAUGUUCAAAAAUGUCUGCUGGCAACCAAUAAAAAAAAAAAAAAAAAAAAAAUUACUUUCUCUGUAAAUAAAAGUUUGA